rnacentral:lncRNA from 1 species
AAAAACAAAGACAAAGAAAUUAGUUCCAGAAUAGAUGGAAAAAGUUAGUAUGAAGUGAAAGAAAAAAAUUUAAGACAAAGAGCAUAAUUUAUGUUGAAGUGAGAGCAUUGUUAUAUUACAUGAAGUCUUGCUCAAGAGUGCACUAGGUUUUUGGCUGUAGAAGAUAGAAUAAAAAUUACAACAACAAAAUUUUAAUUAUAAUAGAAUAUUAAAUAAACUCUAAUUAAACCUUAACAAUUCUAAAUAAGCUUUAAUAAAAUUUAAAAGAAACCUUAAAGAAAUUACAAAAGAAAUAAUAAGAAAUCUUAAAGGAAUUAAAAAAAAAUCCACAAUAAACCUUAAAAGAAUCAUUAAGAAAUUCUAAAAAAUAUUACAAUAAUCACAGAUAUAUCUUAAAUAAAUCUCAAACUAAUUUUAAUUUAAUCUUAGUUGAAACUCUAAUGAACUUCAAACAAAUCUUAGCAAAUUUUAAAUCUUAAAUCAAUUUCUAGAUCAAAUCCUAGAUCCUAAAUCAAACCAUAAAUCAAACCCUAGAUAAAUCUUAAAUCCUAAACUAAAUCUUAAAUUAAAUCCUAUACAAAUCCUAAAUCAAAUCCUAUAUAAAUCCUAAAUCAUAAACCAAAUCUUAAACCAAAUCUUAGAUCAAAUCUUAGAUCCUAAAUCAAAUCCUAAAUCAAAUCCUAGACAAACCUUAAAUCUUAAAUCAAAUCAUAAAUCAAAUCCUAAACAAAUCCUAAAUCCUAAACCAAGUCCUAGAUCAAACCCUAGAUCCUAAACUAAAUCCUAACCCUACUCAAUCUAAUUCUAAUGUCCUUUAGAACUUCAAUAUCUAUCAAUUGAAUCAUUGAUCUUGCUUAAAAAUUUAUAAACUUUUGAACAACUAAGUUAGCAACAAGCACACAAAAUUUGAAGAUAAUUGUAUUUAUUAAAUGGAAGAAAAAUCCUAAAUUCUGCUCGGAUGUUGGUAGGCCUCCUACUCCAAUUUGAAUGUUAAACUUCCAAUGCCAAUAUCUCCUUAUCAAAUUAUUUAAUUAUUCUCAAAUUUCACAUGUGUAUAGAAAAUAAAGUCUAUUAUAUUUUAAAUACAAAUUAUAUCUCAAUCCAAUUAGUAGAUUAUUAAAGAUCUUAAAAAUCCUAAUAGCCUCUUAAAGACAAAUUUCUGAGACUUCAACCUAUUUAAAAUUCAAUAGCCUUCAAUUUAAUCAUUUGAUCAAGCUCAAACUUAUAGUAUAAAUUUUUAAAAACUAUUUUCAUAAAUUAUCAAAAUUUGAAGUAUAGAUCUACUAUCAAAUUCAAAAAAUUCUCCAAAACAUAAUAUUCUUUUUAUUUUACAAAUUCUAGAGUCACCCAAAACAAUUGUAACUUUAUAAAACUCUUCGAAAGUCAUUA